UACCAGCUCUCCGAGUGGUAGGGAUGAUUAUUGGGCUUAAAGCGUCCGUAGCCGGCUUAGCAAGUCUCCUGUUAAAUUCAGCGACCUAAUCGUUGAGCCGCGGGAGAUACUAUUAGGCUAGGAGGCGGGAGAGGUCGACGGUACUUCUGGGGUAGGGGUGAAAUCCUAUAAUCCCGGGAGGACCACCAGUGGCGAAGGCUGUCGACUAGAACGCGCUCGACGGUGAGGGACGAAAGCUGGGGGGAGCGAACCGGAUUAGAUACCCGGGUAGUCCCAGCUGUAAACGAUGCGGGCUAGGUGUUGGGGUGGCUACGUGCCACUUCAGUGCCGCAGGGAAGCCAUUAAGCCCGCCGCCUGGGGAGUACGGCCGCAAGGCUGAAACUUAAAGGAUUGGCGGGGAGCACACAAGGCGUGAAGCUUGCGGUUC
rnacentral:rRNA from 1 species